rnacentral:lncRNA from 1 species
GCAGAGGCUGCGGUGGCUGAAGGUGGUUCCUCUGAUAGGAACGUACAAGCUUUUGUGGAUGAAGUAAGGAGAAGAAGUGUCGAGAUACAUACUGGUAAGUCAAGUGUUAGCAUUGUGGAAAAGGAAAAUGUUGACUUGGUCAUGGAGCCUGAAAUCAUCAAAGGAAAGGAAAAUGUUGACUUGGUCAUGGAGCCUGAAAUCAACAAAGGAAAGGAAAAUGUUGACUUCGUCAAGGAGCCUGAAAUCAUCAAGCGAAAUGAAAAUGUUGACUUGGUCAACGAGGCCAAAAGCAAUGGUGAAGUGGAAGAGCCCAUAAGCAAUGGAAAAGCAGAAGAAAUAUUGGUGGUGUGAUCAAAGCAUAG